GGGCAGGUGCCGCCCCGCCACAAUCUUGACCUUCAGCUUCCCGGGCAUCUUCCUUUCGCCUCAGUCUCCUCCUCCACCUCUUCACCUUCCGCCCAGGGCGGCUGAGGAGAGUUGUGUCAGUCAUCUGAUCCAUGGCGAUUUCUAGAUACAAGAGAACACUGGAAGAAAAGUGGGCAAGAUUUCCAGGGCAGCUCAUACUCAUCAUAAGCAAACUAGUUGUGGCAUUAACAACAAUUCCUAGAAUAUACAUCUGUAAAGCAGGAAAAUAAGCUGUAAAAAUAAAACCAGGAGCAGCAAAUGUACUAAAUAUAAAAAGCUUCACGUAUUAUUAAAGUAUUAAGCUGAUGAUUAAAACUUGUUAAACCUCA